ACCAACUUCCCAACUGGACUCGUUACGUCAAUUCGUGUUGGAAUUUGGAAGAUCCUUACGGUGAAAUCUGCAGAAGAAUAAUGGCGCUGAUGAGAGGAGAGCCGCUGGUGAGGAAGCUGGCCGUGUUGGCCAAGUACGUUGUUCUUCCGGGAGCCAUGGCCGCUGCUCUCUUUUACUCCCCUCCCGAUUACGUCUACUACAAGAAUGACGAUAAGUCUUCCAAAUAGGACUUUUUCACCUCUUCGGACCGUCUGAUCAUGUAGGCUUGCAUUUGCAGUGUUGUAUUCCUCUUAUGUUGAUAAUGGUGUGUACUGGACUUAUUAUCAUCAUGUCUCAAUAACUAGUCAUUUGUUUUACUUUUGUGGCUUUGUCUUCGGAGAAAUAAUAAUCAUUUGUUUCCUUAAAGAAUACUCGAUUAUUUUUCC